UGUAAAUCAGAAGCCCUAAACCCUUCACCGCCACCUCCAUUUUCAGACGAAGAAGCUGCAACGAGUCCAAAACUCAGUUGAAGCAAAAGCAUGAUCCGAGUCGCGAGACCAAAACCCGUUAUGGACUCACUGAGUCACCACCUUCUCCAGAGAUGCUCCGCUAGUGGAACCCCUAAGGGAAAGGCGAAGCUGAAGGCGGGUCAACCGCUCAAGCGCAACAAGGUAUCCACGAAGAAAGGCGGUGGCGGCGGAGAUGGCGAUGAUAUGGUCAAAGGAAAGGGACGGAUCUCCGACGAGAAACAGAAGCUCUUCGACUCGUGCCUCAGCGCGCCUUGCCCAGUUCGCCAUUUACCGCCAAAGGCGAAGGAGAGAGAAGCCGAGCGCCAGAAGCUAGGGUUGAUCAGCAAGGAAACUCAGAGGGAGAUCGAGAUCCGGAAGAAAGGAGGACGAGCCGCCAUGGGAGUCCCCGACGAACCUUUGCCGAUGGGGACGACGGGAUUGGAUCUCAUUUCGUUGGGGCUCGUCGACGCCGAGAAGAUACCGAAGUACGCGCUGACGGUGGAGGACGGAAGAAGGCUGGCGAAGGAGUACAGUCGGGUGCUGAUGAGACGGCACAGAGCGAGGCAAGCGGCGGAGUCUAAUCUGCUGAAGAUGAAGAAGGCGGCGAUCGAGGCGUUGCCGGAGAAGCUGAGGGAAGCGGCGUUGGUGCCGGAUUUGACGCCUUUUCCGGCGAACCGAUUCAUGGCGACUCUGACGCCGCCCAUUGAAGGGUAUCUUGAGAAGGUGAUGGAGGCAGCGAAGAAGAGCUCCGGCAAAGAGAAGUUGAGAUGAUGCAAAAAGUUGGCAAUCUCUCUCUGUGUGUAUAUGCCUUCAGUUCAUGUGAGGUUAAUGUUGGAUCUUUAGGAAGCUAUAAGAAGUUUGCAUUGAAGCAAAAUCCGGUUGAGAGCAAUUUCAAGAUGUGCCACAACAACAGAAAUACUUGACAGAAUGCCAAAAGAGAAAUACCUCAAGAAGCGAUGAUCUUCAGAAGUUCCGAGACUUAAUAAGUAUGUGUUGUUAUGAAGUGUUUGGCUAUUUGAACCAAGUCCUUUUUGUCUUUGUUUCCAUCACAAAUCUCUUUAUUGGUAAGAACUAGGUAUGACCCGCGCGAUGCGCGGUUUAUUCUUUUU